GAUAAACGCUGGCAGCGUGCCUAACACAUGCAAGUCGAACGCCCUGGAGCAAUUCAGGGAGUGGCGGACGGGUGAGGAACACGUGGGUGAUCUACCUUGAGGUGAGGAAUACCGGCGAGAAAUCGCCGACAAUACCGCAUAGGUUCGUAAGAACAAAGUCGCAAGACGCCUGAAGAUGAGCCUGCGUCCGAUUAGCCAGUUGGUGGGGUAAUGGCCUACCAAAGCAGCGAUCGGUAGCUGGUCUGAGAGGACGAUCAGCCACACUGGGAUUGAGAACGGCCCAGACUCCUACGGGGGGCAGCAGUGAGGAAUUUUCGUCAAUGGGGCGAACCCUGAACGAGCAACGCCGCGUGCAGGAAGAA
rnacentral:rRNA from 1 species